rnacentral:lncRNA from 1 species
AGGGUCUUGGUAUUAUGAAGGAUUGAAGGGUUGGUUAAUGGGGAUUAGGAGUUGGUGGUUCUUGUAAGUAAACAAAAUUGUUGCAGAUUUGGGGUUUCUUUUUUCACAAUUUCAAAUUUGAGUUUUUUUUUUUGCUUUGUUUCUUUAUACUCUAAUUAGUUUUGAGAUUAAAUGAGUUAUGUUUUUUUGUUGUUGAAUAUUUAUUUCAAGUAUUCAUUUAAUUAUUUUAUUUAUUUGCAUGUCUAUUUGUUAUCUUGAAUAAUGUUAUUCACUUUUCUUCAAAAUUAUUUGCAAAUUGAUUCUCAAAGCAAUCCUGUCCUUAAGUCAUUUGCC